rnacentral:rRNA from 1 species
UACGAGGGGGGCGAGCGUUGUUCGGAAUUAUUGGGCGGAAAGGGUGCGUAGGCGGUUUGGUAAGUCUUGUGUGAAAUCUACAGGCUCAACUUGUAGUCUGCACGAGAAACUGCCGGGCUUGAGUAUGGGAGAGGUGAGUGGAAUUCCUGGUGUAGCGGUGAAAUGCGUAGAUAUCAGGAGGAACACCUGUGGCGAAAGCGGCUCACUGGACCAUAACUGACGCUGAUGCACGAAAGCUAGGGGAGCAAACAGG